rnacentral:rRNA from 1 species
UACGUAGGAGACGAGCGUUGUCCGGAAUUACUGGGCGUAAAGCGCGUGUAGGCGGACAGGCAAGUCUGCUGUGAAAGCUCCUGGCUUAACCGGGAGUGGUCGGUGGAAACUGCCCGUCUGGAGGACGGUAGAGGUAGGUAGAAUUCCCGGUGUAGUGGUGAAAUGCGUAGAUAUCUGGAGGAACACCGGUGGCGAAGGCGGCAUCCUGGACCGGCAUUGACGCUGAGGCGCGAAAGCUAGGGGAGCAAACGGGG